rnacentral:rRNA from 1 species
CAGUCGAACGACUUCCGUUAAUUGAUUAUGACGUGCUUGCACUGAAUGAGAUUUUAACACGAAGUGAGUGGCGGACGGGUGAGUAACACGUGGGUAACCUGCCCAGAAGCAGGGGAUAACACCUGGAAACAGAUGCUAAUACCGUAUAACAGAGAAAACCGCCUGGUUUUCUUUUAAAAGAUGGCUCUGCUAUCACUUCUGGAUGGACCCGCGGCGCAUUAGCUAGUUGGUGAGGUAACGGCUCACCAAGGCGAUGAUGCGUAGCCGACCUGAGAGGGUAAUCGGCCACAUUGGGACUGAGACACGGCCCAGACUCCUACGGGAGGCAGCAGUAGGGAAUCUUCCACAAUGGACGCAAGUCUGAUGGAGCAACGCCGCGUGAGUGAAGAAGGGUUUCGGCUCGUAAAGCUCUGUUGUUAAAGAAGAACGUGGGUGAGAGUAACUGUUCACCCAGUGACGGUAUUUAACCAGAAAGCCACGGCUAACUACGUGCCAGCAGCCGCGGUAAUACGUAGGUGGCAAGCGUUAUCCGGAUUUAUUGGGCGUAAAGCGAGCGCAGGCGGUCUUUUAAGUCUAAUGUGAAAGCCUUCGGCUCAACCGAAGAAGUGCAUUGGAAACUGGGAGACUUGAGUGCAGAAGAGGACAGUGGAACUCCAUGUGUAGCGGUGAAAUGCGUAGAUAUAUGGAAGAACACCAGUGGCGAAGGCGGCUGUCUGGUCUGUAACUGACGCUGAGGCUCGAAAGCAUGGGUAGCGAACAGGAUUAGAUACCCUGGUAGUCCAUGCCGUAAACGAUGAUUACUAAGUGUUGGAGGGUUUCCGCCCUUCAGUGCUGCAGCUAACGCAUUAAGUAAUCCGCCUGGGGAGUACGACCGCAAGGUUGAAACUCAAAAGAAUUGACGGGGGCCCGCACAAGCGGUGGAGCAUGUGGUUUAAUUCGAAGCUACGCGAAGAACCUUACCAGGUCUUGACAUCUUCUGCCAACCUAAGAGAUUAGGCGUUCCCUUCGGGGACAGAAUGACAGGUGGUGCAUGGUUGUCGUCAGCUCGUGUCGUGAGAUGUUGGGUUAAGUCCCGCAACGAGCGCAACCCUUAUUACUAGUUGCCAGCAUUCAGUUGGGCACUCUAGUGAGACUGCCGGUGACAAACCGGAGGAAGGUGGGGACGACGUCAAAUCAUCAUGCCCCUUAUGACCUGGGCUACACACGUGCUACAAUGGAUGGUACAACGAGUCGCAAAACCGCGAGGUUUAGCUAAUCUCUUAAAACCAUUCUCAGUUCGGACUGUAGGCUGCAACUCGCCUACACGAAGUCGGAAUCGCUAGUAAUCGCGGAUCAGCAUGCCGCGGUGAAUACGUUCCCGGGCCUUGUACACACCGCCCGUCACACCAUGAGAGUUUGUAACACCCAAAGCCGGUGGG